CUUGGUGGCACAAGCGGUGGGGUCACACCUGUUCCCAUCCCGAACACAGCAGUUAAGCUCACCAGCGCCGAUGAUAGCGGAAACGCAAAAGUAGGCCGCCGCCAGGA
rnacentral:rRNA from 1 species